AUAAUUAUUAAAUUAGAAACGCUUUGCGCGCCUCAAUUACAUUAUGAAACAGCUCAAUUUGUUCAUCGUGCCAUCCAUAAAUACUAUAGCCCUGGUAUUUGUUUUCCAUUCGUGCUUCAAGUUUGUAUAAGCUCGUUUUUAACUAUUAAAAUUAAAAAAAUGUGGUCUAUUAAGAGGUCCUCUUUUCUUCUUAGCACUGUCGCAAUAUUUUUAAUCAUUGCAAGCCAGUGUACAUUUCCUCUUAUUUGUCUACAAAAAAAGGCUUAACUUUGCGAGCCUUCUUUUAAAUGGCUGUCUAACAUAAUUUAGGAUCACAAUGAGAAACUGUUAAAUAGAAACAAUAAAUGAGUUUAAUGUUUUCUUUUGGCAAUUUAUUUUCACUUUGCUGCUCUUGAGUAUUCGAAUAUCGCAACUUUACUAAAAUGUUCUAUACCGAUUCCCUUCGAUUCAAACACGCCGUUUAAGUUUUGAAAUAACUAAAUUAUAAGUCAAGCGAAAUAAAUCGUUCCGAUUAGAUAUGCUAAA